AACGAACGUUAGCGGCGCGCCUAACACAUGCAAGUCGCACGAGAAAGGGCUUCGGCCCCGGUAAAGUGGCGCACGGGUGAGUAACACGUGGGUAAUCUGCCCUCGAGCAGGGGAUAACGGUCCGAAAGGACCGCUAAUACCGUAUAAGACCACGCCCUCGAAAGAGGAUGCGGUCAAAGCUGGCCUCUAUUCAUAAGCUAGCACUUGAGGAUGAGCCCGCGGCGCAUCAGCUAGUUGGUGAGGUAAUGGCUCACCAAGGCUAAGACGCGUAGCUGGUCUGAGAGGAUGAUCAGCCACACUGGAACUGAGACACGGUCCAGACUCCUACGGGAGGCAGCAGUGGGGAAUCUUGCGCAAUGGGCGAAAGCCUGACGCAGCGACGCCGCGUGAGUGAUGAAGGCCUUCGGGUUGUAAAGCUCUGUGGGGAGAGACGAAUAAGACGUGGCUAACAUCCACGGCGAUGACGGUAUCUCCUUAGCAAGCACCGGCUAACUCUGUGCCAGCCGCCGCAGUAAGAC
rnacentral:rRNA from 1 species